UUUGGCCUACGGGGGGCAGCAGUGAGGAAUAUUGGUCAAUGGGCGGAAGCCUGAACCAGCCAAGUCGCGUGAGGGAAUAAGGCCCUACGGGUCGUAAACCUCUUUUGCCGGGGAGCAAGGGCGGGGACGUGUCCCGGCCCGGAGAGUACCCGGAGAAAAAGCAUCGGCUAACUCCGUGCCAGCAGCCGCGGUAAUACGUAGGGGGCAAGCGUUAUCCGGAUUUACUGGGUGUAAAGGGAGCGUAGACGGC
rnacentral:rRNA from 1 species